rnacentral:rRNA from 1 species
GACAGAGGGUACAAACGUUGUUCGGAAUUACUGGGCGUAAAGCGCGUGUAGGCGGCUCUGCAAGUCGGAUGUGAAAUCCCACGGCUCAACCAUGGAAGUGCAUUCGAAACUGCAGGGCUAGAGUUCUGGAGAGGAAGGUGGAAUGCUUGGUGUAGAGGUGAAAUUCGUAGAUAUCAAGCGGAACACCGGUGGCGAAGGCGGCCUUCUGGACAGUGACUGACGCUGAGACGCGAAAGCGUGGGGAGCAAACAGGG